UGUCCAGGGGCUGAGGUCUUGCUUGGCCCUAUGAGCAGGGAAACGAAACAGCUCAAUAAAAACUUUUGAUAUUAGUUUUCACAGACAUUUACACUCUGGUGAGUGAGGGACUGAGUACGGAAACUCCACUUAUCAGCCCCCAACCUUGGGUUUGGAUACUUGGUUUAU
ensembl:misc_RNA